ACAGCUAUAUCAUGUUGAAACACCGGCUCAUAUGAUCACCAAAGUUAAGCUAUGUCAAGCCUGCUCAGUACUUGGUGGGUAACUGCUUGAGAAUACCAAGUGCUGUAAG